rnacentral:rRNA from 1 species
CGCACGGGUGAGUAACACGUAUCCAACCUGCCGUCUACUCUUGGACAGCCUUCUGAAAGGAAGAUUAAUACAAGAUGGCAUCAUGAGUCCGCAUGUUCACAUGAUUAAAGGUAUUCCGGUAGACGAUGGGGAUGCGUUCCAUUAGAUAGUAGGCGGGGUAACGGCCCACCUAGUCUUCGAUGGGUAGGGGGUUCUGAGAGGAAGGUCCCCCACAUUGGAACUGAGACACGGUCCAAACUCCUACGGGAGGCAGCAUG